GGAAGAAAUCGGUAGGUGAGGUUACCACAGGGAUUUGGGCCACCUAAGAUUGCUGCCGCUAAAUUGUGGAGACACAAUGCGCUGGUUAACAGGUCAUGUCGCCGAUAAGGCAUAACCUAACGCAAUUAUUAUGCCCUGUGAUACUAAAGCUUGGACGUAGGAAAGUUUGA
rfam:Ruminococcus sp. DSM 100440 contig00002, whole genome shotgun sequence.